CUACGGGGGGCAGCAGUGGGGAAUUUUGCACAAUGGGGGAAACCCUGAUGCAGCGACGCCGCGUGCGGGAAGAAGGCCUUAGGGUUGUAAACCGCUUUCAAUUGUGAAGAAGGGAUGAGAGUUAAUAGCUUUCUGACUUGACGGUAGCAUUAGAAGAAGCACCGGCUAAUUUCGUGCCAGCAGCCGCGGUAAUACGAAAGGUGCAAGCGUUGUUCGGAUUUACUGGGCGUAAAGAGAUCGUAGGUGGUUUAUUAAGUCGGAUGUGAAAUCCCGGAGCUCAACUUCGGAACUGCAUUCGAUACUGGUAGGCUAGAGUUCGGGAGGGGAAAGCGGAAUUCCGUGUGUAGCAGUGAAAUGCGUAGAUAUACGGAGGAACACCUGAGGCGAAGGCGGCUUUCUGGACCGAUACUGACACUGAGGAUCGAAAGCGUGGGUAGCAAACAGGAUUAGAUACCCCUGUAGUC
rnacentral:rRNA from 1 species